AAAAGAACUCUGAAAAGAGAGUCAAACAGAACGUGAAAUUGCUGAAAGGGAAGCGUUUGGAGUCAGAUGCGUCUUCAUGCAGUACAGCUCAGUGGCAGAGGCUGGGAGUGGUUACUUGAAGACGGGCCAGCACUCACGUAGACCAUUGGAAAAGGGGUCAUGGAAUGUAGCUCAAUUGCUGAGUGAUUAUAGCCUUGAUUCAUAUACAGUGUGUCUUAUGUGAGAUUGACGGCACGAGUCUUGACUCAGUGCUUGACUGACUGGCAUAAUGGCUCUAAGCGACCCGUCUUGAAACACGGACCAAGGAGUCUAACAUGUAUGCGAGUAUUAGAGUGAUUGAAACUCUGAAUGCGCAAUGAAAGUGGUCUUGACUGAGAAUCCUUCAAUGGAGGGGGAGGCAUCAGUACCCCGAGUCUGUUAGUCUUUGACUAAAGAUUUGGAGGUAGAGCAUAUAUGUUGGGACCCGAAAGAUGGUGAACUAUGCC
rnacentral:rRNA from 1 species